GUCGAGAAUAAUUCACAAUGGGGGAAACCCUGAUGGUGCAACGCCGCGUGGAGGAUGAAGGUCUUCGGAUUGUAAACUCCUGUCAUCUGGGAGUAAGACCUGACGGUGAAUAGCCGGCAGGGUUGAUAGUACCAGAAGAGGAAGGGACGGCUAACUUCGUGCCAGCAGCCGCGGUAAUACGAAGGUCCCAAGCGUUGUUCGGAAUCACUGGGCGUAAAGGGAGCGUAGGCGGCGUGGUAAGUCAGAUGUGAAAUCCCGGGGCCCAACCCCGGAACUGCAUCCGAUACUGCAAUGAUUGAGGGUUGGAGAGGUAGCUGGAAUUCUCGGUUUAGCAGUGAAAUGCGUGGAUAUCGAGAGGAACACUCGUGGCGAAGGCGAGCUACUGGACAACAUCUGACGCUGAGGCUCGAAGGCCAGGGGAGCAAAAGGGAGUAGAAACCCCUGUAGUCC
rnacentral:rRNA from 1 species